GAUGAAGAACGUAGCGAAAUGCGAUAAGUAGUGUGAAUUGCAGAAUUCAGUGAAUCAUCGAAUCUUUGAACGCACAUUGCGCCCCUUGGUAUCCCGAGGGGCAUGCCUGUUCGAGCGUCAUUUCACCACUCAAGCCUGGCUUGGUGUUGGGCGACGUCCUCUUUGGGGACGCGCCUCGAAACGCUCGGCGGCGUGGCACCGGCUUUAAGCGUAGCAGAAUCUUUCGCUUUGGAAGUCGGGGCCCCGUCUGCCGGAAGACCUGCUCGCAAGGUUGACUUCGGAUCAGGCAGGGAUACCCGCUGAACUUAAGCAUAUCAAUAAGCGGAGGA
rnacentral:misc_RNA from 1 species